AAGUCGUAACAAGGUUUCCGUAGGUGAACCUGCGGAAGGAUCAUUAAAGAGAGAGGGUCUCCAGGCCCAAACCUCCCCUGCCUAGCAAACAACUGCCUUGCUUUGAUGGGUGACCGCCCAUCAGAGGGCCUUGAAACCCGUCAUCUGUGGAGUCUGAGCAUGAUACAAUAGUUAAAA
rnacentral:misc_RNA from 1 species